GAUGAACGCUGGCGGCGUGCCUAACACAUGCAAGUCGAACGGGACUAUUUCGAAAGGCGGCUUCGGCCAAAAUUUGGAUUAGUCUAGUGGCGGACGGGUGAGUAACGCGUGAGCAACCUGCCCUUCAGAGGGGGACAACAGCUGGAAACGGCUGCUAAUACCGCAUAUUGCAACGAGAUCGCAUGGUUUUGUUGUGAAAGAUUUAUCGCUGAAGGAUGGGCUCGCGUCUGAUUAGCUAGUUGGUGGGGUAACGGCCCACCAAGGCGACGAUCAGUAGCCGGACUGAGAGGUUGAACGGCCACAUUGGGACUGAGAUACGGCCCAGACUCCUACGGGAGGCAGCAGUGGGGAAUAUUGGGCAAUGGGCGCAAGCCUGACCCAGCAACGCCGCGUGAAGGAAGAAGGCUUUCGGGUUGUAAACUUCUUUGACCAGGGAAGAAACAAAUGACGGUACCUGGAAAACAAGCCACGGCUAACUACGUGCCAGCAGCCGCGGUAAAAC
rnacentral:rRNA from 1 species